CACGCUGUAAACGAUGAGUGCUAGGUGUCGGGGGUCAAACCUCGGUGCCGCAGUUAACACAUUAAGCACUCCGCCUGGGGAGUACGUUCGCAAGAAUGAAACUCAAAGGAAUUGACGGGGACCCGCACAAGCAGCGGAGCAUGUGGUUUAAUUCGAUGCAACGCGAAGAACCUUACCAGGACUUGACAUCCCUUGGACCGGAUUAGAGAUAAUCCCUUCUCUUCGGAGACUGAGGGACAGGUGG
rnacentral:rRNA from 1 species